CACAGACAUGAAUAAUUUGUGGCUGAGAUGGAGGCUGGUUCAAAUGUUGUAUAGGAUUAGUGAGAAAACUUACGUGGUUCAUACAGCUUACCCAGUAAAAUUAAGGAUGUUACUUACAAUGGGCUGGAAUUGUAGGGAGAAAAGAAAUACUAAAGAAUAUUGGCGAUAAACCCUCUUGGGAUGUAUCAACCUGGAAAAUCGUGAAGGAGAUUUGAAUAUUGCUUUAACAGGGAUCUUAGAGAAAUGGGUUAUGAGGGCAGGAGGUAAAUGGAAGUAGCUCAGUGCUAUGUCCAGUGAUAGUCUUUGCUCUGAGCCAUGCUGACAUUUUUGUUUCUGUUACCAUAUAUUUUCUGUUAUCUUUGUUUUUCUGAUUCUUGUCACAGUUAUUUAAAAUGUUGUUUCUAUCAACAGGGGUACGUUACUUACUCACACUGUGGCACAGUCCAGUAUGUGGCACCAGAGAUAAUACAAGGCAGAGGCUACAGUUAUGAAGUGGACUGGUGGAGCUUGGGGAUAAUGGCAUAUGAAAUGCUGACUGGAGAAACACCCUUCAAACGUAAGGGCAAGGAAGACGUGAUUAAUCUCUAUAUGGAGAUUGUGUAUGACAAGCCAGUGAUCCCAAGGAAGUUUUCACUGGAUGUGGAGGAUUUCAUCUGUAAACUGUUGACAAAGAAUCCACUAAUGCGUUUAGGUGGAGGGAAAGGCAGUGUAGUGGAUAUAAAGAGACAUCCCUUUUUCAAAAGCUGUCACUUUGUUUGCUAUCAGACAAAAGUAUCACAACCAGUCAAGAAGAAGACUACAUUUCAAAUCCUUGUACGUUCUUCACGGUUGAAUGGUAUUUUAAACCGAGGUGUUCUCACUUUGCUGAACAAUCAGCACUCUAUUCCGUAACACUAACAUUUGUGCUUCACCCUGCAAGGCCUGCAAUGGGAAUGUGUAGAAAGAAAAGAAAUAACUAUGCCUUAUGUGCCGCAUCUUAAUCAUAUGAAAGAGAUCAAUCUCGCUGGAUAGCAUUUGAGCUUGGCGAUUUUCAGUGGGUUGCAGACGAGUGACAGUAUUUAUAAGGGUUAUUCAUUCAUAUCCUCGACACUUACUCCUCAUAGACAUUCUGCAGGUGAAAAUUCUCAGGAGCACCCGAACAUUUCUUGGAAGUUGUCAUUUUGAAUACUUUUUAUUAUUCAGAUUGGAAAGUGAAUUGCCCAUUAGAAGUGAAUAACCCAGGCUGGGUGGAUUUUCCAGUGCAAGUGGAUAAUCCAGAACGAGUGGUGCCAAUUAAAGGAGGUGUUUAUGAUGACGGAUUACCCAGCAACCUACACCAAAUGAUAUGGGUUUUGAAAAUGAGAAGAAGGAGAAGAAUGAUACAAGUUCUCAUACUGAUAGCAGCCUUCUGCGAUAGUGCACUGUGAGGUCUCAUAGAAGUUGACUGAGUCUUCAGAUGUGCAUACUUCUGUGUGCAGGAAAGGAAUUGUUAGAAUAGGAGCAGGAUGAACCAGGUCACUGUUGGGUGAGACAAUGGAAGAAGUUAGGUGUGGACAGACAAAGUGAGAGAGCUGAUGAGAAAGGUUUGGACUAACUCCCUGGUGAGGCUGUGGUCACCUCUGCUGUCCCAUUGGCUCUCUUACUUUGUCCUUACCGUGAUCCUCCCCCUCAACCAUUGGUUCCAACUGCUCCUUUUCUCCCAGCAGCUUUUUUUGUGCAUGGCUUGCUCAUCGCACUGGUGAGGGGAAUGUGGUAUGUGAUUAACAGAGCCCACUAUUGGCUGUGAUGUUAAACCAGUUCGUACA